CAUCUUUCUACUGUGUCGAAGACGGUGUUGGCUGCAAGGACGCCGAUGAGGCCGCCUCCUCGGUCUGUUUGGUGCAAAUAUCUUGGUCGCAGGCCGUUCGUCCACUGUUGAGCGUCUGGUAUGUGCUUGCUGACUCUUUGAUGAAAUUGUUGUAUAAUUUUUCAUCCAGAUCGGUUCAUGGAAAGGUGAGCAUUUUUUCUGUAUUGCUCAUGAAAAAGGUUGGUAUUGUUUUCGUAUCCAACAAAUAAAUACUACAAAUUACAUAUUGAGUCGAUGCAAGCUGAUCGUGAAUCAUUAUAUGCUGGUCCGUACGUGCUAGAGACGAGACAAAUUCUAGCUGAUAUUUGCUAGACGAUAGCUUGCUGCUGCUGCUAGAUAUACAUAAAUUUUGACUGAAUUUUUUAGAGGAUUGCUUAUACUGAAUUUUGGUACACCAUUGCUUGUCCUUAAGUUUGUUAGACGAUUCCUUGACCCGCUCUUUUGUAAACAGGAAUGACAUCCUAACUAAUCAUGUUUAAUGGAGAAGAAAAGAAGAAAAGAGAAAUGAAAUGCUGCGAUUUGGCUAUGACAUAGCUUCUACAGUGAAAUCAACUGAUUUCCUACUGAUAAGAAGAAGAGAAUCCUCGAGAAGAAAGAAGGCCCACUGAAAUGGCAGCAAAAACAUUAUGAAUAUGCGACCAACAUCUCAUGGAGCCGCUCAUGCAUUAUCAAACACCACCACGGGUAUCAUUUUACGUGAUAUGCAAAAAGAAAAGUUAAAGAAGGAUGGUGGCACAAAACGGGAAGCAGGUGGUACAUUCACUAGAUGGGGACUGGUCAUAAGCUAAUUAUGGCUUCUUGAUGCUCAUUUAAUUGAUUGCUGCGUACGGAAGUUACAUGUUAAUAUACUCAUGUAUAUACUUUGUUAACGCUACAAAGUUAACAGAUAACUUGGGGCUUGUAUAUGUGUCAAAUGAGACUAUCUUAUUUGGCACAAUAAGAUACUGUCUUCCGUAAAUGUGUUGCUGGACAUAGCAUGAAGAAUGAAUUCAAUUUUUUUCUUCUAAUUUGCAAGAUUAAAAGCAAGAGUAUGGAUAUUUGAAAAUGUGAGAGAUAUCCAAGCCAGAGGCUAAAAGGUGUUGUGAGCCCGCAACAGCAAAAAGGAGCAUGGAUCGAUCCGUGGCACCCCGGACAAAGUGGUAAACAACCCUCCUCCACUCCAUUAU